rnacentral:rRNA from 1 species
GAUGAACGCUGGCGGCGUGCCUAAUACAUGCAAGUCGAGCGAACAGACGAGGAGCUUGUUCCUCUGACGUUAGCGGCGGACGGGUGAGUAACACGUGGAUAACCUACCUAUAAGACGGGGAUAACUUCGGGAAACCGGUGCUAAUACCGGAUAAUAUCUUGAACCGCAUGGUUCAAUAGUGAAAGACGGUUUUGCUGUCACUUAUAGAUGGAUCCGCGUGGGUUUAGCUGGUUGGUAAGGUAACGGCUUACCAAGGCAACGAUCCGUAGCCGACCUGAGAGGGUGAUCGGCCACACUGGAACUGAGACACGGUCCAGACUCCUACGGGAGGCAGCAGUAGGGAAUCUUCGGCAAUGGGCGAAAGCUUGACGGAGCAACGCCGCGUGAGUGAGGAAGGUCUUCGGGUCGUAAACCCCUUUUGUUGGGGAAGAACAAAUGUGUAGGUAACUAUGCACGUCUUGACGGUACCUAAUCAGAAAGCCACGGCUAACUACGUG